rnacentral:rRNA from 1 species
CAGCAGCCGCGGUAAUACGUAGGGUGCGAGCGUUAAUCGGAAUUACUGGGCGUAAAGCGUGCGCAGGCGGUUGUGUAAGACAGGUGUGAAAUCCCCGGGCUUAACCUGGGAACUGCGCUUGUGACUGCACAGCUAGAGUAUGGCAGAGGGGGGUGGAAUUCCACGUGUAGCAGUGAAAUGCGUAGAGAUGUGGAGGAACACCGAUGGCGAAGGCAGCCCCCUGGGCCAAUACUGACGCUGAGGUGCGAAAGCGUGGGGAGCAAACAGGAUUAGAUACCCCUGUAGUCCCUGUCUCUUAUAC